GUGAAUCAUCGAAUCUUUGAACGCAAAUUGCACUUUCUGGUAUUCCGGAAAGUAUGCCUGUUUGAGGGUCAGUUAAAUUAAAAUCGGUGUUGUUGCUACCCGUAGUGGUGUGUGAUGCAUCGGAAUUGAGUCGUUCUUUACCUUUGGUUUAAGUGACUUAAAAUUAUGUUCGAUUUUUGACCUUUUUUAAUUUAUUACUUACUUUCGCAUUAUCACUUUUUAGUUCCGUUCAUUCCCUU
rnacentral:misc_RNA from 1 species